ACCGGCACGCAUACUACUUCCACGCUCAAGCGUUUGCUCGCUAGCUUGGUAAAUCAUCAUGGGUAUCCCAAUUGUUGCAGCUAUAUGCGUCUUUUUGGUUGGUACUGUUAACACCGCGCGCAGGCAAGAUCCUCGGGUCACCGCUCCUGGAACAGUAGGAGAGCUUCUAAUGGCACUUAACACCACUGACCCCAUCUGGAUGUUGAAGCGCAGUUACAACGUAAGCGGCCACAGUUGCGUACAUUCAAUAAAAUUGUGGCUGAAUGGCACAGACUAUACGUUUACUCAGUAUUACGUGGAUGAAAAGGAUGGUUACAAAUCUCAAAAGCUCAAAGCAAGACUCAUUAUGGCAAAUGGUCAAACUGAAGGAGCUGCGAUGAUUGUCAGUAAAGUAGAUGG